AGAAGCUAGGUUUGUUCCUUGCUUAGAGGGUAGGAAACUGGCGUGAAUCAUCAGAGGGGCAGUUUCACAUAAGGGUAGCAUUAGAAUGUUAUGGUAGAGGCUGUGGGAAGAUGGGAGUGUUUUAGACUUCCAACAUGAUGCAAUCAUCAGUAUCACCUGGGCGUUUUUUAGAAAAGGCCAACUCGGGCCCCUCAGAACUCCUGAAUCAGAUCCUGCAUUUUGACAGUAUUCCCAAGUCUUGUUAAAAUUUGAUUACUGCUGUAGGCACUAUUCUCUCUAAAUCUCCCCUCCCCGUCCCCUUUUAUUCAUAUUGAAACUGUUAACGUGCAGUUUAGGAAAGAGGAUAAUGUGGGAGUCCCUAUUAAAAUUUGAAAUGUACAAAUCCUGUAACCCAUUGAUUGUGCGACUCAGAAUCACACCAGAGAAACAAGUAAAUGUGUGCUGGUUAUUGUUUCUUGUCCACGCAGUCACCCUUUUAUACUCAACUCCAUGUUACUGGGGGGGCUUCUGCUAGAUUCCACCAACAGGACGAACAAGAGGGAAACAAAGGCAAGAGGAAGAAGGGACUUGCUCCAUUCUAAUCAGCCUUAUUGCACCCCUCAGAGAUCACAGCAGCAGUCAGUGCUCUCCUCAGAGAUCUGAAUUCUACUUUCAUGCGGCCCCUCCCCUGAGCUCCUGAGAUAGCCAAUGUUUGAGCCACCUCCUCAGAAGUUUGAGCCUCAACACCGUGGGAUCCCUUCUUUGUGCUCCAGAGAUCCAGUAACAGCCAGCCAUCACCCUCUCUUCAUUCUUCAUAGGCCUGAACUAAGGUGUUCAGGGCCCUCCUUCAAGCUUUUAGGUUCUGAUGACUCCAACCACUUCUUUUGUUCCAUCCUUUCCUAGCUCUAGGAAUGGUAGCUGCUACCUGCAGUGAUUACCUGUUACCUUUUAUAAUUCCUUUUGACCAAUUUCCCAUAUUAAAAUAUUUCUCAAUAACUAA